GGCACUGUGUAUUCGGUUGAAAUAGCCAAUCAUUUCAAAUCAAGUUGAGCGGGUCUGCAUCGUUAUUUUGACGAAGUUUGAAACCAGUGGUAAUUUUUUGACACUUCAUCUAGAUUUAAGAAGAUUCUUGCCUGAACAAUUGCUCGAACUCCCGGGUUGACAUGCUCUAAAGGUAUAGUGAAUUCAGUAUGCAGAUUAUUGAAGAGAAAACAUCAAGACGGGGCAAGGAAGACAACAAAACAUGAUUACCCAGAUUGAGGAUCCCAAUGUUCUUUGUCUCAAGCUACUCAGCCUACCAUGAGAAAAUUAAAAGAUCUGUCAUGAAGAAGAGGCUGGUUCUCAACUUUCAUAUUAU